UAUAGCACUUCGUCUGGAGCUCUAUCUUCAAUCUUCACUUUUCUUUUUUCUUUUCUUUUCUAGCACUACGUCUACUCCAGAGCAUUCAAGAAGCACCAUUGCCUGUCCUCCUGCCACCGAGGCUCAGAUGGGUUGCGGUGUUUGGUGGUGGUGUUGGGUUUGGCGGUUGGGUGGUUAUUUUCUGCUUCCUUCUUUUUAUUCUGCCGCGCUAGGUUGUUGUAGAUGUUGGGAGAGGGUAUUUGUGUAAAAGUGCGUUCACAGCACUUUUCUCUCCAGAUUUUCCUCUCGAUUUGGGAGGAUGAAAAUUGUGGGCCCGGGAGAGAAAAUUUUCUCCCGGGUUUUCCUUUCUCCCCGUUUUCCUUCUUUUGCCAAACAAUGGAAAACACUAUUUUCUACCCUAUUUUCCUCCCUAUGUUUUCCAUCCUCCCUAUUUUCACCCCAACCAAACACAGUGUAAGUGAGGAAUACUGUAAAACAUCAUUGCACCUAAAAGAAAAAUUAGAUAAAAACAAUUACUAAUUCUCUUACCUGCUAGGUUGUGUUCCUAGGAAACUUGCAAAAUCAAAAGGAAAAAAUAAAAUAAAA